rnacentral:rRNA from 1 species
CGUGGCAGACGGGUGAGUAACGCGUGGUCAACCUACCGUUGAGUGGGGGAUAACUAGCCGAAAGGUUAGCUAAUACCGCAUACGAGUCUUGGGGGCAUCCCCGGGCCUUAAAAGGAGCAAUCCGCUCGAUGACGGGACCGCGUCCCAUUAGCUAGAUGGUGGGGUAACGGCCUACCAUGGCACCGAUGGGUAGCUGGUUUGAGAGAGCGACCAGCCACACUGGGACUGAGAAACGGCCCAG